AUUGAACGCUGGCGGCAGGCCUAACACAUGCAAGUCGAACGGUAACAGGAAGCAGCUUGCUGCUUCGCUGACGAGUGGCGGACGGGUGAGUAAUGUCUGGGAAACUGCCUGAUGGAGGGGGAUAACUACUGGAAACGGUAGCUAAUACCGCAUAACGUCGCAAGACCAAAGAGGGGGACCUUAGGGCCUCUUGCCAUCGGAUGUGCCCAGAUGGGAUUAGCUAGUAGGUGGGGUAACGGCUCACCUAGGCGACGAUCCCUAGCUGGUCUGAGAGGAUGACCAGCCACACUGGAACUGAGACACGGUCCAGACUCCUACGGGAGGCAGCAGUGGGGAAUAUUGCACAAUGGGCGCAAGCCUGAUGCAGCCAUGCCGCGUGUAUGAAGAAGGCCUUCGGGUUGUAAAGUACUUUCAGCGGGGAGGAAGGGAGUAAAGUUAAUACCUUUGCUCAUAGACGUUACCCGCAGAAGAAGCACCGGCUAACUCCGUG
rnacentral:rRNA from 1 species